rnacentral:rRNA from 1 species
GUGAUAAUGGCAACCACAAUGGCCGGAAGUGAUGCCAAUAGGUUCGACCAGUUGACGCUUGGCCAUUGUCCGGGAUGAAUCACUAGCAGGCUUUCAACAAAG